UACGGGGGGGGGCAAGCGUUGUUCGGAAUUACUGGGCGUAAAGGGCUCGUAGGCGGCCAACUAAGUCCGACGUGAAAUCCCAAGGCUUAACCUGGGAACUGCGUCUGAUACUGGGAGGCUUGAGUAUGGGAGAGGGAUGUAGAAUUCCAGGUGUAGCGGUGAAAUGCGUAGAUAUCUGGAGGAAUACCGGUGGCGAAGGCGGCAUCCUGGACCAUUACUGACGCUUAAGCGCGAAAAGCUAGGGGGAGCAAACGGG
rnacentral:rRNA from 1 species